rnacentral:rRNA from 1 species
GAUCCUGGCUCAGGAUGAACGCUAGCUACAGGCUUAACACAUGCAAGUCGAGGGGCAGCAUUUCAGUUUGCUUGCAAACUGGAGAUGGCGACCGGCGCACGGGUGAGUAACACGUAUCCAACCUGCCGAUAACUCGGGGAUAGCCUUUCGAAAGAAAGAAUUAAUACCCGAUGGUAUAAUUAGACCGCAUGGUCUUGUUAUUAAAGAAUUUCGGUUAUCGAUGGGGAUAGCGUUUCCAUUAGGCAGG